rnacentral:lncRNA from 1 species
GUCCUAGAGAAGAUAUGAACAUUAACUGUAGAACAAUCCUUCUGAAGUGCUUCUUUUGAUGUUCACAUGUAACCCAGUGGUGGGAUAGUACAAUUAUUGUAAGAAUGUUCUAGAGUAACUUACCAUAGUUAAAUUCAGUCUUUUCUUGUUGCUUUAAUUAAAUUAGACUUUGAAAGUCAAUCACCAUUCUUUUUUUCUUUUUCUUCCCCACCCCCCACCCUAGCACAGGGAUCGAACUCAGGACCUUGCACUCGCAAGACAGGCACAGUGCCACUGAGCUACAUUCCGGCCUGUCAGUCAAUUACACUUCAUAGCUAAGCCAAAGACCUCAGCAGUGCACCGACCAAACCCAGACAUCCACACGAUGCUGCAGUGUUACAAAGCUCAUUCUCCAUCAAGAAACACGUUUUGGUGGCUUGGCUGCAGAAAGAGUUAAAGCACCAACACACACUUGUGCUUCUGGAUCUGAUCUUUAAAGCUUUGCAUCCUAAAACCCUCGUCUGGGGCCUGAUAUGAAAAUACAUCUGUCGCCUACCAAGAAAAGAUAUCUGGCUCUCUCAGCCAAAUCUAAAUAAAAUCUUUGCACAUGCAAGAGAACUGCACUAUUUUAAAGAAACCAUCUUAGCCUGAAUAUGUUUAGAAAAACCACACACACACAAAAC